AAUAAGACAACUGGCACUGCCUGAACGAUAAUAAAAAUGAUCACUGGGGAACACCUGUUACUUUUUGCUUUUCCAUCAAGAAAAUAAGAAAAUCGAAACUGCCAGUCAGCAAUUUUAUGCGAUGAUAAGAUUUAUCGGAUAGCGCUGUCGAGCCCAGGCAACCAAACCAGGAUCACACGCGCUGGACCUCUCGAGCUCUCGACUUCGACGGGCAUUCCUUUUUUAAUCGGUGCUUACUUCGCUCUGUGCCAAGCAAAAAUAUGGGAGGAACUUCAUCGAAAAACCACGACCAAAGAGUUUAUCGUUUAAGGGAGUAUAGCGAUAUUCCCGAUGGAGAAUGGAGAAACGGAACAAGAGGAAGAUAUAUAUUUGCUCAAGGGGACGCGUCACCAGCCAUGAUGAUAAUCAAACCAAGAGCAUUUAGCUUGCGUGAACAGUCGUCCAAAAAGCCUUCUACACCAUCGCGCAGGACUACGUUACCAUACAAAAGAAGAGCAUUUGAAGUUUCUGGGGAAGGCAGAGUUGCGUGAAAGAGAAAGAGCAAAAAAUGAAAGACAAGCAAUACGAGUGAAAAUACAAAGACUAAAAGUGAAAGGCGAUUAUGAGUAAAGCUAAAGCGAAACUUGAAAACAAUGAGUAGUUUUAGGAUAUUCAUUUAGCUGCCGCAAACUCAAAAUUAAUUUUCAAAUCCUUCAAAGGCUUCAUAGGCUUAGGAGAGGAGGGAGAGGAGAGGAGAGGAGAGGAGAUCAUUUUAAACAUUGCCAGUUUACCACUGUAACCAUUCAUUUUCUGUUUACAUUUACUAUCUCGGAAGUAAAGCUCAAUCAAGAAUAUUAGUAUGUCUAGCCUUCAAAUUACUAUCGUGUAACAUUACAUUGAGUGUCAGUUGGCACGAUAAGUUUCUUUAACCAUCUAAAAUACCAUUUAUAAUCACGUUCCUCUAUUCAAUAUCGGGGUUGAUUUUACUGUACUUUGAAAUGAAACGCUAUUAAAAUAAUAGUUUGACAAUGUCUAUCAAAA